rnacentral:lncRNA from 1 species
UGUUGCUCUGUUGCCCAGGCUGGAGUGCAGUGGCUCGAUUGAUCUCAGCUCACUGCAACCUCUACCUCCUGGGUUCAAGUGAUUCUCUUGCCUCAGCUUCCCGAGUAGCUGGGAUUACAGGCGUGCGCCACCAUGCCCAGCUAAUUUUUGUAUUUUUAGUGGAGAUGGGGUUUCACCAUGUUGGCCAGGCUGGUCUUGAACUCCUGACCUCAGGUGAUCUGCCCACCUUGGCCUCGCAAAAUGCUAGGAUUAGAGGCAUGAGCCACCGCGCCCGGCCAAGGAAAGAGGUUUAAUUGACUCACAGUUCUGUCUGGCUGGGAAGCCCCAGGAAACUUACAAUCAUGGCGGAAGGGGAAGGGAAAGCAAGGCACCUUCUUCACAUGGCAGUGGGAAAAGUGCCAAAGAAAGGGAGAAAAGCCCCUUGUAAAACCAUCAGAUCUUGUGAGAAUUCACUCACUAUCUCGAGAAUAGCAUGGGAAAACCCCUACUUGAUUCAGUUACCUCCCACUGGGUCCCUCCUAUGACACGUGGGGAUUAUGGGAACUACAAUUCAAGGUGAGAUUUGGGUGGGGACACAGCCAAACCAUAUCAGCUGCCGUCACAAAGCAAUGCACACUGGGCAGUGUAACAAUAGAUGGUUAUUGUCCUGUAGUUCUGGAGGCUGGGGCUCUGAGAUUGAGGGUUCGGCAGGGCUGGCUGUCUCCUGCUCUGUCCUAGGCCAGUCUCCUGGCUUCUGGUGAUCUGUGACAUUGCUCGGCUUGUAGAGGCAUCACUCUGGUUUCUGCCUUUAUCAUCGUGUGGUGCUCUCCUAGGAGGCUGUCUGUGUCCAGACUCCCCCUUUCAUAAGGACACAGCAGUGUCCGAUCAGGACCCACCUCAUAACCUCAUUUUUUUUUUCCAAGACAGAGUCUUGCUCUGUUGCCCAGGCUGGAGUGGGCACUAACCACUAACCUUUGGAGUUAAUGGUGUGAUCUUGGCUCACUGCAACCUCCGCCUCCUGGGUUCAAGCAAUUCUCCUGCCUCAGCCUCCCGAGUAGCUGGGAUUACAGGCACCCUCCACCACACCCGGCUAAUUUUUGUAUUUUUAGUAGAGACAGGGUUCCACCAUGUUGGCCAGGCUGGUCUUGAACUCCUGACCUCUUGAUCCACCCGCCUCGGCCUCCCAAAGUGCUGGGAUUACAGGUGUGAACCACCGUGCCCGGUGACCUCAUCUUAACCUGAUCAUCUCCAAGGACCCUAUUAUGUCUCUGCCCAUGAACAUUCAUGGUCUGGGGGGAGAAUGAGACAUGACAGAGGCAGGUGCAAGAUGGGGCAGCGUGUGCCCUGAGAAGGGGGGUGCUGGGGCCCCAGCACAGGAGGGUUCUGGGCUGCAGUGGCCUGGCACACAGUAGGUGCUCCCUGCCUUUUAGUUGGUAGAUGAGUGAGUGAGAAGAGAUCGGAAGAUCUAGGGCUGUCCUGCUUGGUGCUGAGAAGCAUGGAAGCUGCUUAAAGACACAGGAAAGAAUUUCUCGCCCCCAGGCUCCAGUGCCUUGGGUGUUGAAAGAUCAAAUUCCUGGAAUUCAUCUCCUCUGUCUACUCAGGCUGUCCCUUCAUCAAGCACAAGGACCCGGGGAGAGGCUGGCAACAUGUUAGAGCUUGGCGGAGGGGGUGAGCUGGCCCCAAGUGCAGCCUGGAUUCCAGACGCUGCCAAAACCGGCUUGAUAUAUGUUUGGUCUCAGCAUAGAAUCUUUCCAUCAUCCAACUGUCCUUGUCUCGAAACUGGAGGGGGAGUCCCUUUGAAACUGAUGUCUGGUUUUCCACAGCCAUACAAUUAAUAGUUACUGGUGUGCAGAGUCACCAUCCUGCAGAGGUAAAGCCUUCCCUGUGGCCCAAAGCGGGGAACAUGCAGCCUUGCCGGCUGUGCAGACUCUGCUGCUGCUUUUUCCCUCCUCCCUGCACUGGCCGCUCCAUUUCGCACUCUGUUGAAGCUGAAGCUGGCGUCUUGGUGGUUUUAUGGGGCCGGGGUCCCGUGAUGGGGCCACAUGGAGUUCUUCAGUGGGUUCAGUGGCUAGAGCAGGGCUCUGUCUCCCCAUCAAUCCUGGCAAGUCAUGUUCCCUUCCUCUCUGAGCCUCAGUUUCCCCAUGUACUGAGUUUCAGGCUUAGGUGAUGUAUUAGAUUUGAAGCCUGGGGCUUGAAUGAAUUUUAUUGCUAUUGUGAAGGGUGUGAAGACCUUAUAAACUGCUCUUAUGGAUCACUUGGUCACAACCUGUCAUUUGGGGGAAAGCUUGGCACUGAGAUGACGUUGAACCUCACAGCAGGGGGAGCAGUGGAGCAUGUGCCCAUUCUCUCACAUCCAGCAAGGUUCACCCUGUCCUGUACCGUACAGUCAGGGAACAGCGACUGGUUAGGCAGUCCCAUCCCCACUUCUCUCUUGCUCUGGCCCUCAUUCUCUGAUGGCCCCUCGAAGCACAGCACAAAUAAAAUGGCAACACUCGAACUCCAGCCAAAGUCAAGUUCCACUGGCUCCUUUUGGCAUUAGCCAGAGAGGGCUGCUCAAUGUCUAAUCUUGGAAGACCAAAUCACUCUUCCAACAUUAUCCCCGCUCAAGUGGCAUCCCUGAAAGUCAGCCUUUGUGAGCAUCUCAAGUGUGUGGAUGAUUUUGUUCUAGGCUCCAUCAAUGAGCAAAUCUUUGCUUUUUGUUGAGCAAAUGGAUGAAUAUUUAUUCCGGGGAAGACUGGCUAUUAGCUGAGCCUCUCCAUUCUGCUAAUCUUGACACCGGCCAGAUCAUCUACUUUAUCCAUAAGCAGAAUCACUGGGUUUUGGGUGGAGGACCAAACUUUAGAUCGACAAGCAGGGCCCUGGCGAUGAGGAAACCAGCCUGAAAAUGAUUAUUUGCAGCCUGAUUAUUUAUGGGAUAUACUAUGGGAUAGUGAAGCAGAUCGCUCAGGUCACACAAUAACCUGAUGUAGCAGACGAGGUCCUGCCUCUCAGUCCAGGACACCUGCCCCUUAUGACCGUCUAUCACAGGCCAUCAAGCAGGUCUGCUGGGGUUCAAGGUUUGUAGUCCCCCUAAACAGAAGCCUCUUGCCCACUUGGUGGCCACAAAACCAGCGCAUCCCCUGAAGGCUCUUCAGGCCCAUGGCCCAAGAUGUCUGCUCUUCAGGAACCUUGGAGGCCACACAGAUGCCAUGGAAGGGGUAACCCAUAGUGGCUCAGGUCACCUGAUGGAAAACCAGGGCCACAAGCAUCAUGCGAUGGGCAUGGAUAGAUCAUGCUCCAGCAACAUGGGCUCAUUCAAAAGCUGAGCACCAAGGGAACAAGGCACUUUGGUCCAGGCAGAGGAGAGAGGAGAGGGGACAGAGAGGAGAAAGAGGGCUCUGCCAAAGGUGGGAGGCUGCCCAGGGGCCCGGCACACACAGUAGGACCACUGGAGGGAGACUCAUGCAGACAGUAAGGCAGGGCAGACAGGCUGGCCCCAUUCCUAGUCUCUGUCCAUCCCUCUGAAUCUGAAGGAAGCAAGGGAAUCGGAAGGAAACAGAAUGGUAGGAAAACAGGAUGAAGUGGUGAGUGGGGUAGACGCACGGAAUGCAUGCAACGAUGGCAUGGGAUAUCCACUCGAGCCUUGCUCAUCAUUUACCUGAAUUCAAAUGUAACUGGGAGUUCUUUUAUUUUUAUUUGCUAAAUCUGGCAACUCACAGAGGAGGUGGGGUGAUGGCAUUGCCAGCAUCCUCAGUCUAGCAACGACACCAGGAACCUUCCCAGCAGCGUCUUAUGCUGCCCUUGACGUGGGCUGGGCCAUGACGCCAAAGUGCAGGCCAGCAAAAGCCAGUCUCCUGUGCCAGGUAAGCAGGCGCGUGGAUGCUGGGCUCUCACUUGGGCCCCUGGUGGCUGUGCUGGUUGAUUUUACUGUGUUAACUUGACUGGGCCAUGGGGCACCCAGAUAUGUGGUCAGACAUUACCCUGGCUGUGUGGGCAAGGGUAUUUCCGGACGAGAUUAAUGCUUGAGUUGGUGGAUUGAGUAAAACAGUUGGUCCUGCCCAAUGCAGGUGGGCCUCCUCCAAUCCGUUGAGGGUCUAAAUAGAACAAAAUGCUAUUGGAGACCCUCCCCCAGGUAAGAGAGAAUUCUCCCUGCCUGGUGGCCAUUGAGCUGGGACAUUGGCUUUCUGCUGCCUUCAGAUUUGAAUGGAAGCAUCAGCUCUUCCUGGGUUUCCAGCCUGCGGACUCAUCCAUCUCCAAAACUGUGACAGCUAUUUCCUUUAUAUAUUAAUAUAUGUGCUAUAUAUCUCCAUAUCCUACUGGUCCUGUUUCUCUGAAGAACCCUAACACGGUAGCUAUGGUGAGAGGUGCUCCGACACCUCCUGCAGCUGCAGCAGUUCCCUGUGGCCGGCACCACAAGCCCAGUGUGUUGGGCACAGGUGGCCUCACUCCAGGCAGUGGUGUCACAGGGUGGACCUGACAUGGGCCCAUCCACGAAGUUUGUCGCAUGCCUGCGUGGUGACGGAUGGGCUCCUGGAACCCUGAUUUCUCAGGAGGGAAACACGCCUUUUGUUUCUUUUAAAAUUUGUUGGGAUAGCCCAAAUCUGCUUUUCCAAAGUGAGGAAAUGCCAUAUUCCAGGACGGGAGACAGGGAGGAGGCAUGACAUGCCUCCUAUGAGCCACGCUCCCUGUCCACACCAUUCCAUUUUGGUUUUUAAUUCUUAGGAGGACCUCAGGAACCCAGGAUCUGAUCACUCCAGCUCCUGGUUUAUGCCGCUCGCUCACAACUGGUCCAGUGUGUUAAUUUUAUGUGCGUGUGUGUAUAAUAAAUCAUGUGAGCCCGCCACCAACACGAGAAUCAGAGCAUCGUCCAUAACUUGCUUCUACUGAGGGCCUGUGCUCUCCCUCCCCCAGGUUUCUCUUUCCAUCGUUCCUGGAACCAUGCUGAGUCAGGCUUGCUGUGACUCCAGCAAGAUGGGUGAGCAGAGGCCCUGCACAGUGAGUGGCGAGCUGGGGUCUGAACCGGAGCCUGCACAGCUCUGAGGCUGCGCUCCCUUAGCCCUGGGUGGCUGCUCCCCGACCAGCUCCAGUGGGCAGGCUGGGUCUGCCUCGUCCAACACAGAAUCACCAGGGGCUGGUGCAUGGAAGGUGCCUAUUUGUUGAGUGAAAUAGUUUCACGAUGUCUACACAUAUCAGAAUAUCACAUUUGUACUCCAUAAAUAGAUGGGAUUAUUGUCGAUUAAAAAUCAAAAUAAAAAAUAUAUUUGUUGAGUAAACAGGCAUCCUCCCUUGCAAGCCUAUACUGG